UUUAAAUGUAAAAUUUUGAAUUAAAUUAUUAAUAGUUAUGUUCUUUAAAUUUAAAAAAUUUGGCGGUAUUUUAGUCUAUUUAGAGGAACCUGUUCUGUAAUUGAUAAUCCACGAUUAGUUUUACUUAAUUUAAAAAUUUGUAUAUCGUUGUUUAAAAGAUUUUAAAAGAAUUAAAAUUUUUAUAAUAUUUUAUUAAAUAAUUAAUCAAAUCAAGGUGCAGUUUAUAAUUAAGAAGAAAUGGGUUACAAUAAAAUUUAUUUAAAUGAAUUAGAUUUUUAAAAUAUUUUUAUGAAAGUGAAUUUAAUAGUAAUAUGAUUUAUAUAAAUUAUAUGAUUUUAGCUCUAAAAUAUGU
rnacentral:rRNA from 1 species